rnacentral:misc_RNA from 1 species
GAAAUGCGAUACGUAAUGUGAAUUGCAGAAUUCAGUGAAUCAUCGAGUCUUUGAACGCACAUUGCGCCCCCUGGUAUUCCGGGGGGCAUGCCUGUCCGAGCGUCAUUGCUGCCCUCAAGCACGGCUUGUGUGUUGGGCCCCCGUCCCCCCCCCAAGGGGACGGGCCCGAAAGGCAGCGGCGGCACCGUGUCCGGUCCUCGAGCGUAUGGGAAGCAACUUUUUGUCACCCGCUCCUGUAGGUCCGGCCGGCGGCCUGCCCAACCCCAACCUUUUUUUCAACCAGGUUGACCUCGGAACAGGUAGGGAUACCCGCUGAACUUAAGC